rnacentral:rRNA from 1 species
UUUGCCUCUUAAAUGGGGGCUGGUAUGAAUGGCAAGACGGGGAUUUAGCUGUCUCUUUCUUAUAUUUUUGAAAUUAAUAUUCUUGUGAAGAGGCGGGAAUAGGUUCGUGGGACGAGAAGACCCUAUUGAGCUUUAGU